CUGUCACCUGGGUCCUCUCUGUCAUCCUAGUGUGUAGGAUAGUCUGAAACUGGAGGAAAAGUCAUCCACUGGAGCAGCUGUAGACAUCUUCAGUGUGAAAGGUUUGCAUUUAUCCACUCUAAGUAAUGCUUGAAGGGAGAAAGGAUGUUCACUAAUGGACACUGUAUCUAUUAGAGGAAACCUGGAAAGUUGCCCAGCAUAGAAAUGGAAGAUGGAAGCUUUCUACAUGGCGGUGGUGACACUUCUAUUUUGGCGAGUGAGAAAACAGAAUACUCCCCCCACCUUCUCUUUGCCUCUGGGCUCUUCUGUUCCUCUCUGUCCCUCUCACUCCUCCUCAGUUUCCCUCUCUUCCUACUCAACCUUCCUACUGUUACAGCCCUUUAAUACCUCGUGUUGUGGUGACCCCCCCAACCAUAAAAUUAUUUUUGUUGCUACUUCAUAACUGCGAUUUUGCUACUGUUAUGAAUCUUAAUGUAAAUAUCUGGUAUGCGACCCCCUGGGCGGGUCGUUUGACCCACAGGUUGAGUACCUUUAUAGGCACUGUUCCUGUUCCGCAAGCUCAUCCUGAGGAGUUAAUCCUGCUGCAUGAUGAAUGUGUGUAAGGAACAGUGUGAGACAUGGCCCCCCUCCAUCUCCACUGUGGUCACACGAGAAAGUGCAGUCUAGGUUGUCAGCACUUAAAAAAGAACGUAAUGGGAGUUGGAGAUUGACGUGAUGGAUGGUAAAUCCUGGGAACAGAUGGGAAACAUGAAAGACUGUUACUAAUAUGAAACAAAAAGAAAAAUUACAAGACCAGUAAAAAAAAAAAAUCAUCCCUAUGUUAUCACAUCGGAGCUGCGUGAAUGUUAGCCUCAGGAAAACAACAACAACAACAACAAAAAAAACAACAAGUGAACAGUCUGUACUAAGGAGUUGUUCGCCCCUUGCUGGCCAGUCUUGGAAUUGUUCUGCUUGAAGACAUAAACCUGGUGGUUCCUGUUACUAAAAGUUUGUUUAUAUGGUGGAUGACAUUGAUGGAUUUCCGUAUAUUGAACCACCCUUACAUGCCUGGGAUGAAGCCUACUUGGUCAUGGUGGAUGAUAUGAACUCAACGGCAAGCCUUUCGACCCCCACCUCCCCGAGGGAGGAGCAGCCUUGCUAGGCCACAGAAGAAGACAUUGCAGCCAGUCCUGAAGAGACUUGAUAAGCUAGGGUCAGAUGGAAGGGGAUGAGGUCCUCCCCUAUUAGUGGACUUGGAAAGGGGCAGGGAGGAGAUGA